GACGAACGCUGGCGGCGUGCCUAAUACAUGCCAGUCGAACGCAUUUUCUUUCACCGUAGCUUGCUACACCGAAAGAAAAUGAGUGGCGAACGGGUGAGUAACACGUUGGUAACCUGCCCAUCAGCGGGGGAUAACACUUGGAAACAGGUGCUAAUACCGCCUACUUCCAUUUACUGCAUGGUAGAUGGAUGAAAGGCGCUUUUCCGUCACUGAUGGAUGGACCCGCGGUGCAUUAGCUAGUGGGUGAGGUAACGGCCUACCAAGGCUGCGAUGCAUAGCCGACCUGAGAGGGUGAUCGGCCACACUGGGACUGAGACACGGCCCAGACUCCUACGGGAGGCAGCAGUAGGGAAUCUUCGGCAAUGGACGCAAGUCUGACCGAGCAACGCCGCGUGAGUGAAGAAGGUUUUCGGAUCGUAAAACUCUGUUGUUAGAAAAGAACAAGGAUGAGAGUGGAAAGGUCAUCCCUUGACGGUAUCUAACCAGAAAGCCACGGCUAACUACGUG
rnacentral:rRNA from 1 species